rnacentral:rRNA from 1 species
GACGAACGCUGGCGGCGUGCUUAACACAUGCAAGUCGAAUGAUGAAGCCGGAGCUUGCUCUGGUGAAUUAGUGGCGAACGGGUGAGUAACACGUGAGUAACCUGCCCUUGACUCUGGGAUAACUGCGGGAAACUGUAGCUAAUACCGGAUACGACCCUCGGAGGCAUCUCCUGGGGGUGGAAAGAAUUUCGGUCAAGGAUGGACUCGCGGCCUAUCAGCUAGUUGGUGAGGUAAAGGCUCACCAAGGCGACGACGGGUAGCCGGCCUGAGAGGGGGACCGGCCACACUGGGACUGAGACACGGCCCAGACUCCUACGGGAGGCAGCAGUGGGGAAUAUUGCACAAUGGGCGCAAGCCUGAUGCAGCAACGCCGCGUGAGGGAUGAAGGCCUUCGGGUUGUAAACCUCUUUUAGCAGGGAAGAAGCGAAAGUGACGGUACCUGCAGAAAAAGCACCGGCUAACUACGUGCCAGCAGCCGCCGUAA